UAUAACUAAACUGUUGGGUUCAGGUGCGUGCUUGCUAGGAUCUGCGGCGCUGGAUGUCGACCACAAUAUCUCCCUCCACCUAUAUGGAGUAUUUUGCUACACUAAUCUUAUUGACUGACAUAACAUUCAGCGCGUGAAAUGCCGCUCAUGUGAUGUGUUACGUUUAUUUGGAGUUUGUAAUUAAUCAAGCUUCAGUGAGGGAGGGUGGGAUUGCCGGAAAGAUAAACUAGUUGUGCUGGCUUUGGCUCUGGCCCAUUCGUCUUCACAGCAUCAAACUAUUGGCAAUUUUCAGCUAAAGAUUACAGGGCAGUGGUACCAUGUCUGUACAAUAGAUGUUGCGAUUUUUCUACAAAUGUACGGAGGAACGAAGGCUAAAGGAAUCAAAAUGAAAAAGAGAAUUUAGAAAGUGAAGGAAUGAAUAUUAGGAUAUCAGCGGUAGCGGGGUAGUGAAUGAAUGAUGAUCCUAAGAUCACCACAAUCUUAAGGUCUACUGGAAAGGCAAGCAUGUCGGAACUAUGUAUCUUGUGCCUCUUUUAUAAAUGUAAGCCCAUUUUAAAUUUUAUGUUUCAUCAUGCUACCUUUUUUCACAUACCUGGUUUUAAUUUGUUACUUUAUAUCCGCCCAUGGAAAGAUUUGGAUUAAUAGCGGGGUCCUUGCUUGUAUAAUUACUCCAUAUAUUGGAUGCGUACUGAGUUCUGCAUCAUUUUCCUACCCAGUCUGGAAGACAUUUUAAUUUUUGCAACACCAUCCAUGCAUUUACUUAGCAACUGCAUGCUUAUUUCUUGAAAAUUCUUCGAUUUUGCUUUAUGUUGCUGUGAGCAUUUCAGCUAUCAUUUUGUUAAAACAUGAUUCUCUCUGUCUGAAAUUUGUGAAGCAUCAUGAUAGGCUGAACAAUUUAUUUGUUAUUUUACAUUUUUUGUCAAUCACUGUCCACUGACCUUUUGAUCAUGCCUUUGAACAAUUCAUUUAUGUUAAGGGCCUUUGCUAUUAGAUAUGUGUAUCUGUGAUGCAUUUUAGGGUGCUCCGGGAUGGCAACAACUGCUCAAGGAUGUUGUAAGCCUUAUCGCCGCAACAUAGGGCUCCUUGGUUGAUGAAGGAGCCUUCCGGUGUGGCGUGGCGGUGACACUCUAGUUUGAACCGGCCAAGGGGUUAUAUCUUCUUUGAAGAGCUAAAUUGGUCCAUUGAAUUUAUAAAUCUUUGAUCUACUGGGGUGAUUUGCCACAUAAUAUCUCAUAGUUGUAUAUACCUUUCCACAGGGUGAUUCAUUAGGAGUAGGUACUGACAAACCUGACCACAGAGGACAUAAACUCUAUCAAAAUCAAGCUCGAGUUACUACUCAACUGUGUUAUCGCCUUAUCGGGGACUGUGCUGCGGUAAAGAUGCUUUCCGCUGAUUCUACCUGGAAAAGGUGCGAAGAAGCAGGAGUUAUUACACUAGGCCAACCUCACAAGGUGACCCUCGGGCGACAUUAUAUAUGUGCGCUGUAAAUUGUUUCAGAAUUGCAGCCUCAAAGUUGCAAGUUGCAAACACCAUUCCCAUGGCUGAUUAGAGAAAAUUUGAGGGAAAUGCAUUCCUGGAAAGCUGUAAUCUUCACCUACAAAAUGCUUUUGAAAAAUUCCCAGAUUUAAUGGAAGAGGAUGAUAUCUCUGAUUCCUACAAAAAGCGAAAAUUUGAAGUCCCAUCUGAAAAUGAGAAAGAUACCAUUAAGUCGUUUCACAUUAUUGACAAGGAUAUGGUGGAGUUUGAGGAUGGUUAUGAUGACAAAGAUGGGCAUCUGCUGGCAGAUAAUGAGAUUGUUGAGGAGGCGAAAGUGAUUUCUGUGGUUGAUAAAGGGAAGGGGAUUUUGAUUGAGGAAUCUGAGGAAGAUUCCAGUGAUGAUGACUCCAGCGAUGAUUGUGGCUGUGAUUUCUCUGGUGCGGUGGAUGGCGAUUGGGAGGAUCAUCUGGUUUAUUAGAUUAACCUAGUAGAUUCUAUCAUCUUAUCUGAUCUAUCUCCGUUUGUUGGAGUAAUAAACCUGAAUAAGAAUACUAGAUGGUGUUUUGCUCUUUCGGCAAGCAAUUACUUCUUUCUGAAUUUAGCCAUGGGCUUUUAUUUUUAAUAAUAGUGUAUCUUGGGUAUGGUGGACAAAUUCAUCCCUUGAUGGCUUGAAGAUUUAAAAUGGAUUUCCAGCAGACUGGGGAUUCAAUUCAAUACCUGGUCUUUGAUGUCAUUAAAUGAUUUUUGUGCUUAAGGCUACUUUACUUGUUGAUUCAUUUGUGUUUGGCAAUGGGUUGAUGCAUGGAUUGGAUUGGAAUCUGUGAAUGUGAUUAUUGUUGUUGUUGUUGUUAUAUGGGAUAGCAUUGAACUUGUAGUUGUGAAUAAAUACUGUUUGAUGCUUCCUUCCAAAACGGUAGUUAUACAACACACUU